GGAGAGGUGGCUGAGUGGCUUAAAGCAUCCUCCUGCUAAGAGGAAGUGGGUAGUUAAUGCCCACCGGGGGUUCUCCCGAAGGGAGACGCUACGCGAACAAAUCCCUCUCUCUCCG
rnacentral:tRNA from 4 species